GACGAACGCUGGCGGCGUGCCUAAUACAUGCAAGUCGAACGCAGUGGGGACGGGUGAGUAACACGUGGGUAACCUCCCAUCAGAGGGGAUAACACUUGGAAACAGGUGCUAAACCGAUACUGAUGGAUGGACCCGCGGUGCAUUAGCUAGUUGGUGAGGUAACGGCUCACCAAGGCCACGAUGCAUAGCCGACCUGAGAGGGUGAUCGGCCACACUGGGACUGAGACACGGCCCAGACUCCUACGGGAGGCAGCAGUAGGGAAUCUUCGGCAAUGGACGAAAGUCUGACCGAGCAACGCCGCGUGAGUGAAGAAGGUUUUCGGGUUGUAAAGCUCUGUUAAUCGGGACGCAGUACCGGAAUAGAAAGCCACGGCUAACUACGUGCCAGCAGCCGCGGUAAUAC
rnacentral:rRNA from 1 species